rnacentral:lncRNA from 1 species
UGUAGCACAGCGGGAGGUGGCAAAAGAGGAGAUGCUAUUUGCAUAAAGUGUUUCUGGUAAAGAGAUAGAAACAGAAGAAUAGAAUAAAAAGGGCCCUUUUCUCCUAUGUUACUGGCUUCAGGGAAUAUAUUUCAUACCAAGAAAAGGAAUGGAUAGAACUGAGAUCGUAGGAUUGACUGCUGCAGCGAACAUUGUUUAUGUGCCAACAUCCACAGUAUACAAAUGAUACGGCCAUGGGACCCGGAUGGAAAAUGCAGUGAGCACUAGGAGACAGUCCCCGGCCCCAGAGCUCGCAGCCUCUGGAAGCAAACACACAGCCCAGGUGAGAAAGCAAAGGUCCACAGAAGGAGAUGGCGUGCCCUGCCAAAUUCAGUUUUCCUCUGCUACAAGCCACAAUUCUAUAUACAAACCUCGGUAAAAGAAGAAAAGCAAUACUUCUCCUGCCUACUGCACAGACUUAUACUGAGUGAAGAGGUGAAUUUGCAGGAUGAAGCUAGAAAGGUAUGAUUCUGCAUCGUGUAAGGGGUCAGGCCCUGGAAAUGCAGAUGCAAGAACUAACUUAAACAUUCCAGGGAAUAGAAGUGACCGACAUUUCCAG